CUGUUUUCCAAUACCUUUCUUCUGAGAGAUGAUGAACUAAAGCAAAGAACCUAGAAGGGCAAGGAAGAGGAUUUCUUCUCAACAACUGGUAGUCACCUAGCAACUGUUCUCUUUAUGCAGAAGUUAAAAUCUAUAAAAGAAAGAAAGAAUGCAGAGAUUUUGCCACCAAGUAAAAUGACUGAAAGUCCUGGAGAUGCUUUCCCAAGUAUUGGAAGGGUUAAACUACAUGCAAGUUUCAUGGAAGUUUCAGUUACAGCUCUGAAUGGGAAGCUAAGCCUUUAGAAGUAUGAGGCCACAUCUAAGACAUCAUUGCCUACCUGAUGGAAGCUUAUCCUAAUUGCAAGUGAGAUACUAGUGAAGAAAUAAGCGACCUUUGGAGUGCUAGCCUUAUGAACUCAGAACUUUAAAUUGUUGGCAAACAUUGUGCCUGGAUUGGAGGGAAGAAGUUGUUUGCUUGCUCAUUUUGUGGCUGGCUAGCUUAGUGCAGCCUACUAAUAAGCUAAAGGUUAUGAAUUUUAUCUUUGUGUGCAUUAGGCAGUUUUGUUCUCUUCCAUGGCCCCAAUCUCCAAGCCUUCUAAAUAUGCAUCAUAGCGUCAGCCCUACCAAAGAUGCAGCUUUAUCCCCUACGGGUGCCCCAGGUAGGCAACUCUAGGAGGAUGCUGCAUCAUUGUGUCUAUUUUCCAUUAUUCUGGGUUUGACUAGGGAGACAUGCGAAAGGAGAGGCUAUCCAUUUUGGGAAACUUCAUUUGUCCCUUAUUCUGUCCUCCCCCACAGAUAUCAUUUGAAUAUUUUAUUGACCCCUGGCCUUUUUGAGCCAAUCUCUCAUCACGAGCCAGAACCAGCUGUUGCAAAUUCAAUAGAAACUUUUCCCUUAAGAAAAGAAAAUCAUACAAACAGUGAAUGCUUUUUUUAAGCCUUCAGCCCAAUUAAAAAUCCCUUCUUAUUGAGUCAGAGCUCAACUUGCUCUUGAUCAAAACCUCAAUUAUAGUGAAAUGCUUGCCUUUUACUAGUGCCACAAAUAAAAGAUAUUUUGUGAAGGAAUAAUGUUUGUAU
rnacentral:lncRNA from 1 species